rnacentral:rRNA from 1 species
UACGUAGGGGGCAAGCGUUAUCCGGAUUUACUGGGUGUAAAGGGAGCGUAGACGGCAAGACAAGCCUGGAGUGAAAGGCGGGGGCCCAACCCCCGGACUGCUCUGGGAACUGUCUGGCUGGAGUGCAGGAGGGGUAAGUGGAAUUCCUAGUGUAGCGGUGAAAUGCGUAGAUAUUAGGAGGAACACCAGUGGCGAAGGCGGCUUACUGGACUGUAACUGACGUUGAGGCUCGAAAGCGUGGGGAGCAAACAGG